rnacentral:misc_RNA from 1 species
GAUGAAGAACGUAGCGAAAUGCGAUACUUGGUGUGAAUUGCAGAAUCCCGUGAACCAUCGAGUCUUUGAACGCAAGUUGCGCCCGAAGCCAUUAGGCCGAGGGCACGCCUGCCUGGGUGUCACACGUCGUUGCCCCCCCAUCUACUCCUUCGGGGUUGCGGGGGGCGGAUGAUGGCCUCCCGUGCGCCUCGUCGCGCGGUUGGCAUAAAUGCCAAGUCCUCGGCGACGCACGCCACGACAAUCGGUGGUUGCGAAACCUCGGUUGCCCGUCGUGUGCGGUCGUCGCGCAUCGAGGGCUCGAAAAAAUUGCCGGGCUCCGGCUCGGCUUUCAACGCGACCCCAGGUCAGGCGGGGUUACCCGCUGAAUUUAAGCAUAUCAAUAAGCGGAGGA